UACGUAGGGUGCGAGCGUUAAUCGGAAUUACUGGGCGUAAAGUGUGCGCAGGCGGCCGCGCAAGUCGAGUGUGAAAGCCCCGGGCUUAACUUGGGAAUUGCGCUCGAAACUACGUGGCUGGAGUGUGGCAGAGGAAGGUGGAAUUCCACGUGUAGCGGUGAAAUGCGUAGAGAUGUGGAGGAACACCAAUGGCGAAGGCAGCCUUCUGGGCCGAACACUGACGCUCAUGCACGAAAGCGUGGGGAGCAAACAGG
rnacentral:rRNA from 1 species